UUAACUUAAAUUUGUAUGGAGUUGGACAGCUACCUUUCGUUUGCCGCUAGGGGCGCUGAUCCAACUCCAUACAAAUUUGAGUUA
rnacentral:pre_miRNA from 1 species